UGAUGAUGGGUUGAAAAUCUUUUAACAG
rnacentral:piRNA from 1 species